rnacentral:rRNA from 1 species
GAUGAACGCUGGCGGCGUGCCUAAUACAUGCAAGUCGAGCGAACGGACGAGAAGCUUGCUUCUCUGACGUUAGCGGCGGACGGGUGAGUAACACGUGGAUAACCUACCUAUAAGACUGGGAUAACUUCGGGAAACCGGAGCUAAUACCGGAUAAUAUUUUGAACCGCAUGGUUCAAAAGUGAAAGACGGUCUUGCUGUCACUUAUAGAUGGAUCCGCGCUGCAUUAGCUAGUUGGUAAGGUAACGGCUUACCAAGGCAACGAUGCAUAGCCGACCUGAGAGGGUGAUCGGCCACACUGGAACUGAGACACGGUCCAGACUCCUACGGGAGGCAGCAGUAGGGAAUCUUCCGCAAUGGGCGAAAGCCUGACGGAGCAACGCCGCGUGAGUGAUGAAGGUCUUCGGAUCGUAAAACUCUGCUAUUAGGGAAGAACAUAUGUGUAAGUAACUAUGCACAUCUUGACGGUACCUAAUCAGAAAGCCACGGCUAACUACGUG